AUACGUAGGUGGCAAGCGUUGUCCGGAAUCAUUGGGCGUAAAGGGCGCGCAGGCGGUUCGGUAAGUCGGUCUUCAAAGUGCGGGGCUUAACCCCGUGAUGGGAUUGAAACUGCCGGACUGGAGUGUCGGAGAGGAAAGCAGAAUUCCUAGUGUAGCGGUGAAAUGCGUAGAUAUUAGGAGGAAUACCAGUGGCGAAAGCGGCUUUCUGGACGACAACUGACGCUGAGGCGCGAAAGCCAGGGGAGCAAACGGGAUUAGAUACCCCGGUAGUCCUGGCCGUAAACGAUGGAUACUAGGUGUAGGAGGUAUCGACCCCUUCUGUGCCGGAGUUAACGCAAUAAGUAUCCCGCCUGGGGAGUACGGCCGCAAGGUUGAA
rnacentral:rRNA from 1 species